rnacentral:rRNA from 1 species
GACGAACGCUGGCGGCGUGCCUAAUACAUGCAAGUAGGACGAGUUGCGAACGGGUGAGUAAUGUCUGGGAAACUGCCCGAUGGAGGGGGAUAACUACUGGAAACGGUAGCUAAUACCGCAUACCAUCGGAUGUGCCCAGAUGGGAUUAGCUAGUAGGUGGGGUAACGGCUCACCUAGGCGACGAUCCCUAGCUGGUCUGAGAGGAUGACCAGCCACACUGGAACUGAGACACGGUCCAGACUCCUACGGGAGGCAGCAGUGGGGAAUAUUGCACAAUGGGCGCAAGCCUGAUGCAGCCAUGCCGCGUGUAUGAAGAAGGCCUUCGGGUUGUAAAGUACUUUCAGCGAGGAGGCGUUACUCGCAGAAGAAGCACCGGCUAACUCCGUGCCAGCAGCCGCGGUAAUAC